UGGAGCAAUUUAUAUAUUAUGCCAAAGCAAAAAAUGUCCAAAAAGAACAACAAAGGCAGGUAGAAUUAACAAUCAUUUUACUUGAUUCUUCCUAAAUAGAUCUCUAAGCUGCGGUGAACAAAAAUCAGCUUAGAGAUUAUUCAUCAAGUAUCUCUAAGCUGCUGUGAACAAGAACAGAUGUCAUCAAGAUUUUCUAAGAUGCAGUGAAGAAGAAACAGAAAGCUGAAUGAGGAAGAACAAGUUUAACCAAGAAUUUCUACGCUAAGCUAAUCGAACUGGGUAAUCUUUUUACUGAUAUGUUUUCUAAGUUCCACAAUAGAUCAACAAUAUAUCUCCUCUCAAGAGUGGAACAGAUUUAUCUAUAAACCGACAAAGUUUUCAUCUCAAGAUCUAAUUGGCUGCAGUGAGUUUGAUAUAUGGAGUGUAACAAAUCAUGAGUUGCAUCUCAGAUCUACAAAAAGACCCACAUCGUGUUGUUCAAUUAAUCAGUGCAUGUGUUGAUUGUUUUCCCUGAGAUUGUCUCCGACUACAAUGACUCGCAAUUCAUCUGUGACGUUUGGACUCUCAGUUUCACAAUCCUUUUCAUUAAGUGAAAAAUAAAUGAUCAUCAUUCCCCAGCUUAAGUGAUGAAGGUUCCUCCUUUUGUUCAUACUACUUCGAUUCUCAUAUUUACACACGGCAUAGAAAAGUGCAACAAAAUGGCGAUGGAGCAUAGGCAGACAAAAUAGACACGAUGGUAAUCUUUCUAGUUUCACCUAUCCAAGUCGGGGAUUUGUGGAACUAAAGAGGAGAUAUCUAACCGAAGAAGAACGUAAAGCAGCUAAUUUAUAUUUUACUAAAUUGCAGAGAAGUGGAACCAUAUUUGGAGCUCAAGCCCACAUAGAUAAUCAGUUCAUCAAGGCACUUGCAGAUGUCCAUGUCGAUCAGCAAAACCAUACACUGUUGAUAAUGUCAACGCCUUUAAAUUUAACCCUAAAGGUUGUAAUUUUUCUAGAGCAUCUAAUAGCAGUGGAGUUUGCAUAAAAGGAACCAAUAUAUUGUUAACGACAAUGACUACUAUAGUGUGAUUAUUCUAGAACCGGAGUACAAGGGCAGUACACAGAUCAAAAGAAUUGUUUUAUUUAAAUCUGAAUCGUUUGACACCACACCAAAUUGAGGAAUGAAGAUCAUCCGCAAUAUAAACUUGUGGAUGUCAACCAUAAAAAGAAAUUGAUGUAUGAACCAUUUACUUUGGCAAUGCAAGCAGCUCAAGUAUAUUAUGCUUCUUA